rnacentral:rRNA from 1 species
GCCUUCGGGAACUCUGAGACAGGUGCUGCAUGGCUGUCGUCAGCUCGUGUUGUGAAAUGUUGGGUUAAGUCCCGCAACGAGCGCAACCCUUAUCCUUUGUUGCCAGCACGUAAUGGUGGGAACUCAAAGGAGACUGCCGGUGAUAAACCGGAGGAAGGUGGGGAUGACGUCAAGUCAUCAUGGCCCUUACGAGUAGGGCUACACACGUGCUACAAUGGCGUAU